rnacentral:lncRNA from 1 species
UGUUGGCCUGAGUGCUCCCGCCUCAUGAAAUUCAGCCACCUCUUUCUCCAGUCAGUUCCAUCUUCUCAACUCCGACUGUCUUCCAGAGUCCGUGUCACACCACAGCCUGGAAACUCUCCCCAAGCAGUAACCUGAAGCAACAUUACUCCAUCAUUACUGUACCACCGCCUAUAUGGAUAUAGUUGUCAGUGUGAAGCUGAGUAAGGAACAACGUGCAUCAGACUCACAGAGAAAAUGGACAAGCGAGCUGGCCUUUGUAUCACUAAAGGGAAGGUUUGGAAUAAUUCAUCAGUGUAAUCUUCUCAACCUGGUCAAUCACAUGAACUUAGAAGAUGAUUCCUCCCCAGCUGAUCCUUCAGGUGAGACCUCAGCCUUGGCAAUCAUCUACAUCUAGAUUCCUGACCCAGAGAAACUGUGAGUAAUUUGUGUGUGCUUUUGAGCCACUAAGCUAUGUGGUAAUUGGCUAUGCUGCAAUAAACAAUAAUACACUUGAUGGUAAACAUAGUAUGUUAUCCUUGAUUAGAUCCAAAAAAAGGAAAAAUGGCAUUAGUGGAAAACCUGGUAAAAUAUGAAGACAGUCAGUACUUUAGUUAAUAGUUUUGUGCCUUUGUCAGUUUGUGAGUUUUCACAGAUAGUCUAUGGUUAUGUGUAUGAUAUUAAUAUUGCAGGAAAUUGAAGGGUAUAUCCAAUUUUGUAAGAUUUUAACAACUCUCUAUAAAUCUAAAAUUAUUUCAAAAUAAAUAGAAGUGUAGACAUGGCUCAUAUAUUUGAGAUCAGGUCUUCCUGUUAACUUAAGCCUUCAUGGAACCUAAACUCAUGGUACAAAUGCAAUAACAUUAUAAAAUAUAAAUGAGAUGAGUUUCUAUUUUACUCACUCUAUUCUUCAGGGAACACUAAAGCCCAUUCUUCUUCUCAAGUAUCCAAAACUAAAGUUGAUCCAAGUAACAAGUGGACGCAUAAAAGAUUGUAUGGAAACUAUAAUGCAUCUACAUCUUCAGUUACUAAUCAUAAAAUGAUUUGUAUGAUCAUUCUUCACAUGAUUAGAAUGACUAUG